AACGAACGCUGGCGGCAGGCUUAACACAUGCAAGUCGAACGGUUGUAGCAAUACAGCAGUGGCAGACGGGUGAGUAACACGUGGGAACCUUCCUAGGGGUACGGAACAACUCAGGGAAACUUGAGCUAAUACCGUAUACGUCCGUGAGGAGAAAGAUUUAUCGCCCUUAGACGGGCCCGCGUCGGAUUAGCUAGUUGGUGGGGUAACGGCCUACCAAGGCGACGAGCCGUAGCUGAUCUUAGAGGAUGAUCAGCCACACUGGGACUGAGACACGGCCCAGACUCCUACGGGAGGCAGCAGUGGGGAAUCUUGGACAAUGGGCGCAAGCCUGAUCCAGCCAUGCCGCGUGAGUGGAGAAGGUCUUCGGAUUGUAAAGCUCUUUCGCCAGGGACGAUAAUGACGGUACCUAGAGAAUAAGCCCCGGCAAACUUCGUGCCAGCCGCCGCCGUAA
rnacentral:rRNA from 1 species